AUAUUGCAAUGCCAUGUAUAUUUUCAUAUAGAAAUUGCGGGCUAAUAUUAAUAUCUAGCCCAAAUUGGCAUCUGUUAAAUGUGGCCAGAUUAUUCCAAUGCUUGGGAACAAAGUUAGUUUAAUUUUAAGCUAUUUGCAUCAAAGUCAUUUUUCCCGAUCGAUAAAUAUAUCUAAGAAGACAAUUAAGUUGGGUUAAGAAUAUUUGCACAUAUAUUUAUAUUUAUUAAUCAGAUAUAUUUAGGCAUGAUCAGAUUAGUCUCUCGAUUUACUUUAUUCACCUUAAUUUAGCCCACGUUAUACGGAGUAAUGCACUAUACGAUGGAUAGAGCUGCAGGGGCAUUAAGUGUUGACAAGCUGCAGAUAGCGGUUCAAAGAGUUGAGCCUCCCCACGAGGUGUCAGGUGCGAGCACCUGGUAAAAACAUUAAGCAGCUCAUAAAUACAACUUGAUUAUGGCUUUUAGCUACCGUUUAGGUCUGCAGCCCGGCGAUUGGAAUCGUAAUCCAUUAAUGAUUAUACGAAUUGUACUACCAGCACUCAUAAUACCCGCCCGUACGUUCAGGGGCCGCUUGGACUUUGGAAAUGCUGCCUCGCGAUAAGCCCGCCCCGGCCCCAGACGAUGCAUUCAAUGCGAAUGGGGCUCGGUAUGGCACUAUAAUUGCCCGGUUGCCACAUAUUGACUUUAUGUUAUGGCCAUCAAUAGCUAAUUUAGUGGGUGGCCGUAAUAUGCAGUCAGUCACAAAAGCAGCUAAACUACAUGGCAGAUAAGCCAUGUUCGAACAGCUCCCGCAAGGUGCAAACUGGUCGCCAAUCGGCGUCAACCUGAUUGCCACUAUUUCUGUUUGUGUGUGAGUGUCCGGCCGUAUCAGCGACAUGUCUUGCACGACCGGACAGCUUGGCCAGCGAUCGCGUCACACACAUCGAUACAUUGCUAGGCAUGCGUGGACGUCAUGUCGAGUACAAACGUGCGAGCUUAUCAAUUCGAGAACGCCAGCAGCGAUGGGCACAUGGCCUGGCCUCAUCUCAAGUUGGCAAAUACUUGGCAGAGACUAGUAAUUGGGUAAUAAGAACAAGGUAAGGUCAGCGAGUGUACAACAAAAACAACAAUACGAGCAGCACUUCAAGCCACGCUGAGCAGCCCGAAGCACUUGUCAACAAGUCCCAAGAACAAGGAGUACGUAGAAUGCCAUGUGAGUCGAACGCCACUUACAACG